AUGCAUGCAUAUGAUGCAUACAUAUAUCUUUCCUCUCCCUCUAGAACAUGGAAGCUCUCAGUGCCCAAAUGCAUCAUGCAGAGCAACCCGCCAUCCUCAGGUGCCCCUGGGCUGCCCAUGGGCUCCGGGGAUGCAUUUCCUCCACGCACUGUGCAUGACUUCAGCAGCUACGUGCCAUCUGAGAGGGAUUUCUAUCAGCUAGGAGGUUUCACUCCUGUUGUGAAUUUGCCUCAAAUCCUCGUGUUACUUCACACAAAUGCCAGCGUGCUCUGGUAUCAGAGAUGUGCUGCAGCCUCUGCUGGCCAGAGCAGCUGUGCCCAGCCAAGGGUAGACAGCGAUGGGGAAGCGCUGAGACUAAGGGAAGACUACCCACCUUUGGCUCUGCACCUGAGACAAAACUGCCACCAAGCAACUUGUGCUGCCCAACAUGCACAAGUGAGCAACGCCUCUGCACACACAGCCCCUCUGAGGAAGAAAAGGGGCUGUUACUCUGAGAAAACACCAUGUACUUUGCCUACCAGGCUCACCCUAGACAGGCAUGACCUUCCCCUGGCAGAGGAGCAACGGUGCCGAGCUCUGGGCAGCGAGCUGAGCCCCGUGGCCAUGGUCACAUCCAUCCAGAGCCCACAGAAACCCCAUGGGGAGCAGCACGGAGCCAGCACGCGUCUUUGCUUAUUAAGCACAGGUGUGGUGGCUGGGCAGAGCAUCACCCUCCUGCAGCCGAGGGCAGCGAGCACGGCAGGGAGCUCCGGGGCCUUCCUGCACAUGCCUGUUCCCCACUCAGCACACGACCACUCCUCACAAACUGAGCACAGCAUGGGCCACAUAACUUGCCUCUUAGUUUCCCCUUUAAUGAAUGCAGCAGUAUUGGCACUGUUACGUUUCCCUUUGGCCAAAGAACCACGGGAUGGGGAAACGAUAAACCCUCCAUCUGCUCAGACCUGUAGAUUUGCUUUUCUUGUUCAGGCAUUUUUGUUUUAUUUUGAAUUCUACUCCAAAAUACAUAAACUUGGGCCAAAGGAUUUGGAAGUUAAUUUGUUGACCUUGAGCUGGAUUUGGUCCUGGGAAAUGAUCACAGAAACUCCUCCUGCCUCAUACGUGUAA
ensembl:lncRNA